CCUACGGGAGGCAGCAGUGAGGAAUAUUGGUCAAUGGGAGAGAUCCUGAACCAGCCAAGCCGCGUGAGGGAAGACGGCCCUAUGGGUUGUAAAUCUCUUUUGUCGGAGAGCAAAACCCGUGACGAGUUCCGUACUGCGUGUGUCCGGACAAAAAGCAUCGGCUAACUCCGUGCCAGCAGCCGCGGUAAUACGGAGGAUGCGAUCGUUAGCCGGAUUUAUUGGGUUUAAAGGGUGCGUAGGCGGUCUGUUAAGUCAGCGGUAAAAUUGCGGGGCUCAACCCCGUCGAGCCGUUGAAACUGGGAGACUAGAGUAGGAGAGAGGUAAGCGGAAUGAGAGGUGUAGCGGUGAAAUGCAUAGAUAUCGCGAAGAACGCCGAUUGCGAAGGCAGCGUACCGGCGCCAGACUGACACUGAGGCACGAAAGCGUGGGGAUCGAACAGGAUUAGAUACCCGGGUAGUC
rnacentral:rRNA from 1 species